UACAGAGGUCGCGAGCGUUGUUCGGAUUUACUGGGCGUAAAGGGCGCGUAGGCGGUCUUGCGUGUCGCGUGUGAAAUCUCCGGGCUCAACCCGGAAAGUGCGCGCGAAACUGCAAGACUGGAGACCGGGAGAGGGAAGGGGAAUACAGGGUGUAGCGGUGAAAUGCGUUGAUAUCCUGUAGAACACCGGAGGCGAAGGCGCCUUCCUGGAACGGUUCUGACGCUGAGGCGCGAAAGUCGGGGGAGCAAAC
rnacentral:rRNA from 1 species